rnacentral:lncRNA from 1 species
AUGAUUUGCAUAAUAACACAAAGAAGGCUGGCAGCACAGAUUUUCAGUUCCUGUGACCUUAUAUAUGCUAUCCUGUGUCUUAUAUCUCAACCGACUCACAGUUUACAGCGGGCUAAUGUGGACCACUUGAGAAUAGAAUGCCUUCAAGGGUACCAUUUGUGUCUGGAAAAUCAGCCUCUUCUCUUGAAAAGAGUGGUGGCCAUCUAUCACUCAGCUGGGUGACAAUGUGCUUAUUUCAUAAUCUCAAUUUCUUCAACUCCGAACUUAGAGAAAUAUGAAUAAUAUACUUUAUAGGAAGAAG